rnacentral:rRNA from 1 species
UACGUAGGGGGCAAGCGUUGUCCGGAAUCAUUGGGCGUAAAGCGCGUGUAGGCGGCUCGAUAAGUCUGCUGUGAAAGUCCAAGGCUCAACCUUGGGAUGCCGGUGGAUACUGUCGAGCUCGAGUCCGGAAGAGGCGAGUGGAAUUCCUGGUGUAGCGGUGAAAUGCGCAGAUAUCAGGAGGAACACCAAUGGCGAAGGCAGCUCGCUGGGACGUGACUGACGCUGAGACGCGAAAGCGUGGGGAGCAAACCGG